AGGAAGCGGCGAGAGAACAGGAACAGAUGAUCAUGCCGAGGAAUUUGAGGCACUUCCUGUGUCCGCCGCUUGAA
rnacentral:pre_miRNA from 1 species